GACAGAGGGUGCAAACGUUGUUCGGAAUUACUGGGCGUAAAGCGCGUGUAGGCGGCAGUGCGAGUCGGGUGUGAAAGCCCUCAGCUCAACUGAGGAAGUGCGCCCGAAACUGCAUUGCUUGAGUACCGGAGAGGAUGGUGGAAUUCCCGAAGUAGAGGUGAAAUUCGUAGAUAUCGGGAGGAACACCGGUGGCGAAGGCGACCAUCUGGACGGAUACUGACGCUGAGACGCGAAAGCGUGGGUAGCAAACAGG
rnacentral:rRNA from 1 species